rnacentral:tRNA from 2 species
GAGCGCGUAGCUCAGUCGGUAGAGCGGUCGGCUUUUAACCGGUAGGUCCUGGGUUCGAGCCCCAGCGCGCUCACCA